UACAGAGGUCUCAAGCGUUGUUCGGAUUUAUUGGGCGUAAAGGGCGCGUAGGCGGUUGGACAAGUCUUGUGUGAAAUCUUCGGGCUCAACUCGAAGUCUGCACGAGAAACUAUCUGGCUUGAGUGUGGGAGAGGUGAGUGGAAUUCCUGGUGUAGCGGUGAAAUGCGUAGAUAUCAGGAGGAACACCUGUGGCGAAAGCGGCUCACUGGACCACAACUGACGCUGAGGCGCGAAAGCUAGGGGAGCAAACAGG
rnacentral:rRNA from 1 species